UCCGUAAGGGGUACCUGCGGAGGGAUCAUUACACAACAAAAAUAUGAGGGUGUGGUUUGCUGGCAACAGCGUCCGCCCCAAGUAUUUUUCACCCAUGUCUUUUGCGCACUUUUUGUUUCCUGGGCGAGUUCGCUCGCCACCAGGACCCAACCAUAAACCUUUUUUUAUGCAGUUGCAAUCAGCGUCAGUAUAAUAAUUCAAUUUAUUAAAACUUUCAACAACGGAUCUCUUGGUUCUGGCAUCGAUGAAGAACGCAGCGAAAUGCGAUACGUAGUGUGAAUUGCAGAAUUCAGUGAAUCAUCGAAUCUUUGAACGCACAUUGCGCCCUUUGGUAUUCCAAAGGGCAUGCCUGUUCGAGCGUCAUUUGUACCCUCAAGCUUUGCUUGGUGUUGGGCGUCUUUUUGUCUCUCCCCUUGUUGGGGGAGACUCGCCUUAAAACGAUUGGCAGCCGACCUACUGGUUUUCGGAGCGCAGCACAAAUUUGCGCCUUCCAAUCCACGGGGCGGCAUCCAGCAAGCCUUUGUUUUCUAUAACAAAUCCACAUUUUGACCUCGGAUCAGGUAGGGAUACCCGCUGAACUUAAGCAUAUCAUAGGC
rnacentral:rRNA from 1 species